ACGCGCACGCGCGGAAGAUUCCGCUCCUCCGGGCGCGAAUCCACCGACCCGGGGUUUGGGUCCCGCCGGGAACUGUUUAUAAACACAGCGCGCGGCCGCCGGCAAGAGAGCCUGAAGCUACAGAAUGAUGGGGUUUGGAUAAUGACUACUCAAAAGUGAGGACCCUGCAGCAUUGCAAGAAGUUACCAGCUUUGAUUUGGGAAUGAAGGUCUGACUUUUUCUGUUCUCUCAACCCACUGCCAUUUCCCUCGCUGGAGCCAGGCAGCGAGCUCGGCGGGGCCCUGGCUCGGCCCCUACGGAAGCAGUGCCCGUCCCAGUUUCCCACCGUGUCUAAUAAAGAGGUGGGAUGAAUGGUAGAAAUUUCUCUGCCGUCUCUGUCAUGGGCUGUGUGUCCCCCAGGAACUUAGGUCUGCGUUCCAGCCCGGCUCCUGGAAAUAGGGUCUCUAUGGCUGUCAUCAAGGAGUAGGUGGGCCCUAGAUCCAACAUGACUGGGUCCUCAUAGGGAGUGGGGAGUUUGGGCAGACAGACACACGCACAGAGAAGACGGCCACAUGAAGACAGAAGGAGAGACGGUGAUGCUGUGAGAAGCCAGAGGACGCCCAGGCCACCGGACACCAGGUGACAGCACGGAACCAGCUCUUCCCAAGGAUUUCAGAGGCAGCCCCGCCUUGCCGACACCUGGAUUUCAGACGUCUGCCCUCCAGAACUGUGAGACAACACAUUCCUGUUGUUUUAAACCACCAGUUUAUGGAACUUUGCUAAGACGGCCCUGGGAAGACUAACAUAGUCUCUUCCAAACAAGAUGCCUUCCACUGAACAAUUGGCUUGAUUUUACUAGGGACAGUGAAUCUGGUAACUGAACUUGUUUCCUUCUUUGUGUGGGCUGUUAGGAAGCUCAGAACUAAAACUGGAAUCAGUCUCUACCACCUCUGUUAGACUUCGGUGGUGGGACCAUACCCAUGGCUUACUUCCAUCUUUUCAGUCACUUCUUUCCCUGUUUUCCAGUUUCCUUAUUUACUGAUAUAUUUUUAUUUUGAUACGUUUAUAUUUGAGUAAGCCAUCAGAAAUGGUUUGUUUUUUAGUUCAGAUGAACUUAUCACAAGAUACAAUCAGCAAGAGUCAGACAGACUAGAGAACUCUAUAAUUAACAAAUGACUCACUUUCAUAAAUAAAAGGAAAAAAGGGGGAGAUGGAAGGGAAAUAUAUAAAUUAAGUGGGAUUAAGGGAACCCUCAUCUGUCGUUGUUAGAAUGUAAAAUUGUGCACCGCUUGGAAUAACAGUUUGGUGAUUCCUUUAAAAGUGAAACGUACCCUUAGUGUGUAGCCCAGCCCUCCACACCGAGGAGUCUCCCGGAGAGGAAUGAAAACACAUGUCAAAGACUACAUGUGAAGGUUCCUACAGCAUUAUUCAUAGAACCUAAACUGAAAACAACCCGUAUGUCCACCAGUGAUUGAACUGGUUUCAAAAAAGCAGCGGUGGUACAUUCUUACAAGAAAGCAUCGUCAGUAACAGAAAGGAACGAUUUGCCGUUUCAUGCACCAAGCCUGGAGGAACCCCAAAACCUUAGGUGAAGAGAAAGAAGUCAGACACAAAAGGCCACAUAUUUUAUGAUUCUAUUUAUAGGAAAUCGAUUUUUUAAAAAGAAGAAGGAACUCCAGAGACAGAAAGCUGCCCGUGGUUCCCUGGGGCUGAGCUGGGGGCGGGAACCGGCUGUAGAUGGCACGAGGGAGCUUUGUGGGGUGACGAAAGUGUCCAGUACUGGAUCGCAGUGAAGACUGAGCAACUGUCCACUGACGGUGUCUGCAUUUUAUGGUACAUAAACUGCACCUCAAUAAAGUUCUUUAAAAAUGGAGACUUAAAACUGCCUGGAAAUUUGAUCAUAUUGUGGCAUCUUUAUUAAGAAUGUUUUUAGGUGUGAUGAUGGCAUCGUGGUUAUGUUUUUACGAAUGAACCCCUAUCUUUUAGAGAUACACAUUGAAUUGUACAAAAUGAGAUGAUGCCUGGGAUUUGUUUCAAAGCAAUAUGGGAGGGUUUGGGUGGAGGAAGGGGGAAACAUGAAAGGACAGCAGUGGGUGACUGUUGGAGCUGAGUGAUGGGUAUGUGCAGAUUUAUUCCAGCAUUCUUUCUUCUUUUGUAUAUGCUUAAAAUGUUUCCAUAGUUAAAACUUUAAAAAGAUGAAGUUCAAGUCUUUAAAGAAAAAUAAAGCAAAAAAAAAACAGUGACUCGGCCAAGCUCUCCACGGUCACUGGCUGGACUCAGCUGGACCAGAUGUUUCCCCUCCCCUUCUGCCAACAGUGGGCAGCCUUUGUGUGCCACCAGCCGGAGUCUGCCUGGCACAGACCCAGCCUAAGCAUGAACCCGCACCCUGCUGAUCCGCCUCUCUGUCCCAGGGAUUCCAAUCCUGUAGAAUGAUGCAAGAAAGGGAAAAGAUUGGAGCAUCCUGGGAGAGCAGCUUUUGUGGCUGUCAUCGGGGUUUUCUCACGCAAGGUGAGAGUUUAUGCAGCUAACUGGAGCUGCCAUUAAAGUCUUCUCAUUGUGCCAGGGGAGGGGAGGUGGUCUCCCCAUGAGGCGACCCAUGAGGGAGAUAAAAAGUCAAAAAGGCUGGUCAAAGUGGUAAAUUUCUUCCACGCUUCUCUUUGCCAUAUUGGUCAUUCCGUUGCUGUCUGCGUAGAAGAAAUUAAUUAAGCCCAGGGCUUUCUCAGCAAUCUAGCUGUUUCCUGAAUUUUGCCCCUUUACCUCCCAAAUCAAUAUAGGUAAUAAUUACAAGUGAGCUCCAUUGGGGGUUGAAUUGGGUCCCCCCAAAAGAUAGGAUGAAGCUCUCAUCUCGGUCCUGGUGAAUGUGGCCUUAUUUGGAAAUAGGGUCAUUGCAAAUGGAAUUAGAAUAAGUUAAAAAGAGGUUGCCCUGGAGUAGGGGGCCCUUAAUCCAGUCUGCCUGGGGUCCCUGUAACGGGGGGGGGGGGGUCCCAAACCCGAAGAGGAGAUGGCCACGUGACGUGGUGGCGGAGAGUGGAGCAACACAGCUGCCAACCAGGGGGGCCGAGGAUGCCAGCACCGCUGGGAGCCGGGAAGGAGGCAGGGGGCAGCGUCUCCCCCAGAGCCUUCCGGGGGAGCUGGGCCCCGCCGACACCCCGAACUCAGACUUCCAGGCCCCAGAGCUGGGAGGUGAUAACUUCCUGUUGCUUCAGGCCACCCAGCUGGCGGUCCUCAGUGGCAGCAGCCCCGGACACCGAGAGGUGCAUUUCCGAGUUGUCGGUGCCAGUCUGAGUACUUAUCUGUAAGUAUUAAUUCGUUUAGUCCUUAUAACAGCCCCACGCAGUAUUAUUAUUCCCCUUUAACAGAUAAGGGAGCUGAGCCACUUGCUCUGGACGCACCGUCGGGGAGCAGCGCAGCUUGGGUUUACACCAGCCGAUGCGUCUGCAGGGGCCCGAGCCGUCAGCCGCCGGAUUGUUCUCUCCUUACAGGGACCCCAGGCGUUGGCUUUCGGGCCCACCCAUCUCCAGUGUGACCCCACCUUUACUUGAUGACAUCUGCAGAAACCCCACUUGCAGAGAAGUCACCUCCACAGGUGCCUUCUUGGAUCUUUCCUGAUGAGACCUCAACAUAUCUUUUGGGGGAACACAGCUCAAAACUUUAAACCCCCAAAAAGCUGCUCAACUGGGAACCUGAGGACCCAAAGGUGCUCCACUGCCCAGGGUGCCUGGUCUCACCCUCUUUAGCAGCAGGCAUUUGUGGGUGCCAACUCGUGCCCCAACAGAGGGGUGAUGGUUGCAACAGUGGUGGAAGCUGCAUUGAGCACCAGCACCGCAUCCAGCUCUGCUCAGGGCACUGCACAGGCACCAGCUCACUGAACCCCCUGAGCCUUGGGAGGGAGCGGCCCUCCUGACACCCUGAUUUCGGGCUCUGGCCACACAACAGUGGGAGAACACGCUUCUCCUGUUUUUAGCCCAUUUGUGGUCCUUGGUCACCGCGGCCCUGGGGCCCUCAGACAGGGACCCCCGUGGAGCAGGCCGUCUGCUGAGAUGCGAGCAUUCCUCGUCGCCAAGUCUUCUCACAAAGCACUCUCUCUGUAGGUAGCUUACACGAGUGGGGUUCCAAGUGGGCCACAGCCUCGCUGUGGCCGCCCUUUUAAUCCUCCAACGACGCUGAGCCCAUUUUACAGGACAGGAGACUGAGGCAGGCACCGCACCCCGCGGAGCUGACUGCGGGCAACGUCUCAGCCAUCCCUGCCUGCUUCCAUUCGCCUCCCCUACCAAGCCAGGGAGGGACGUGGUCAGAUGGUUCCCACCGACACCGUCGGGGAACUGCCCGGCUGCUGGAUCGCAAGUGGGGUAUCAGCUGCCCGCAUUCCACCCCCACCUGGGGUCUGCACCCUUGCAUGCCCCCCACCCGCGCUGGAUGACCACUGGGAUUGGCGGGAAUGGCCAAGCAGGCCCUCCGAGGCGAGGCCAUGAGGACACGGCAGUUUCCUCGUUGCUCUUUCUCGAUCGCUCGCUCUGGGGGAGGCCAGCUGUAAGCUCUGAGGACGUGGGUGCGGCCUAUCCAUGCGGAGGGGUCACCUGGCGAGGAACCGAGGCCCCAGCUGGCACGGCACUUGAGGGGGCCACCGUGGGGGAGGGCCCGCCAGCCCCAGUGAAACCGUCAGAUGACACGGCCUGGCUGACAGCUUAACUCACGAGAGCCUGUGCCUCAACCACCCGGUCACAUCGUCCCCACAUCCCCGACCCACGACCCACGGAAGUGUGGACAAUAAAUGCCUGUUGAUCUAAGCAGUAGUUAAGCUUGGGAGCACUUGGGUACACAGAGAUGGGUACGUAACCCCAGCACUGCUCUCCUUUUCUCAGCUCCAACACCAGUCUAGUCUGUCAAGAGUGUUUUAUUACCCAGGCUUUGGUCUGAACAAGUUUCCUGUGGUGUAGCCCCGGCCCCAUCUUUCCUGGAUUGGGGCUGAAGAAAUAUGCCCGCAUUCUAGAUGACAGAGUGGCUGGGGACAGGCUGUAAAAGAACAAGUAAAUCUGCUCUGAGCAAUCUGAGGGAAUGGGGUGCAUCUCGCAUAGGUUUUCAAACUCUGGCCUCAAAUGUUAAGGAAAUGUUUAUGUGGAGGAUUACUCUGUGCCACACACACACACACACACACACACACACACUUUGGUCUCCCCGUCUUUUGCAGUGAUACGAAACUCUGGUUCUUUGGGGUCAUGGUCCCAGCUCCCAUCACUGUGUGAUGUGAACAGGCAGGAAGCUGUAUUGGGGGAAGCAGGAAGGAUCCCAGAAGGAUCUAGAAGUGCUAGGAAGUGACCUUUGGUGGAGGGGAAAGGGAAAGAGGUGAUGGAAUCCCCAGUCUUUCACCCAAUAUUUAUUGAGCUCCAGAUUCCCUAAGAUUCUCACUUGGACCUGCAGUGGUUGGGUUUUGAGGCUUCUCCCCAGCGUCAUCCGCCUGCCUUCAGAUCCGCCAGGGUCCUCUUGUGUGCUGGGCACUGUGCACUGCUGCCUCCUACGUAUUUAUCCAGGAACGGCGGACCAAAGCAAGGGCCCCACGUCACUUCUUUGGUGGGUCUUGUUGGGCAGUUGCUGUGGGCAGGCACGUGUUGCGUGGCGUGGUUUCCUGACUUUGGAGGAGAAAGGGAAGGAGGGGAGAGAGGAGGAAGCCCGGCUCCACUCCGUUCUCCAGAACUUUCUGCAAUGAGAGGAAUGUCCUUUAUCUGUACUGUCCAACACGAUGGCCAUUACCACACGUGGCAGCUGAGCGCUUGAAAUGUGGGUAGUGCGACCGAGGAACUGAGUUUUUAAUUUUAUUUAAAUUAAACACUCCACUGAAAUAGCCACAUAUCUAGUAGCUUCCAAACUGGGCAGCACAAUUCUAAGAGCCUUGUUUUGGGUCUACAAACACAAUCUCUCUAGUGAUUUAUUUCAAAAUUUUAAAUUAAGGUAUGAUGUACAUAGAAUAAAAUUCACAGUUCUGCUAGUUUUGACAAAUGCACACAGUCAUAUAAUGACAGUCAAGAUAAAAAACAGUUUGGUCACCCACUCGCACCCCAAAAUUCCUGCAUGUCGUCAUGUAGUUAACCUCUCCCCACUCCUCUGGCUCCUGGAAAUCCCUCAUCUGUUUCUGUCCCUCGAGUUUUGCCUUUUCCAGAAUGUCAUAUUAAAAAAAAUCAAACAG